UACAGAGGGGGCAAGCGUUGUUCGGAAUUACUGGGCGUAAAGGGCGCGUAGGCGGCCCGCUAAGUCGAACGUGAAAUCCCUGGGCUCAACCCAGGAACUGCGUCCGAUACUGGCAGGCUUGAAUCCGGGAGAGGGAUGUGGAAUUCCAGGUGUAGCGGUGAAAUGCGUAGAUAUCUGGAGGAACACCGGUGGCGAAGGCGACAUCCUGGACCGGUAUUGACGCUGAGGCGCGAAAGCCAGGGGAGCAAACGGG
rnacentral:rRNA from 1 species